CACACGCGGGGUUGGGGAUGUCAGGGAGAAAUCCUGAUGUUUCCGCCGGUGGUCCGGUCCGGAAGGGCAGGACUGUUCACCCCGUGGAGGUUCAACCGGAAAAAGGAGUUAG
rnacentral:sRNA from 1 species